CCCUGUGUGAGGAGGUCCAUUCUAUCUACUCCCCUGUGUGAGGAGGUCCAUUCUAUCUACUCCCCUGUGUGAGGAGGUCCAUUCUAUCUACUCCCCUGUGUGAGGAGGUGCAUUCUAUCUACUCCCCUGUGUGAGGAGGUGCAUUCUAUUU